UAAAAAUAUAGCCUAUCCAAAAAUAUACAGAUAAAUUUUACUAAUAUAUAAUAGGCUAAAUUACAGAAAACCCUUCUGUCAAAAUCUGAUUUUUCGCUUUUCUCUCUGUCAUUUAAAAACUACACUUUGCCCCAUUGUAAAAUAAAAAAUAUUCACAGGAAGUAUGGUGUGAACUGUGAUGAUAAAAUGACCAUUUUGUCCCUCACCAUUUUGCCCCUCAGUCCCUCACUAUGCUCACAGGAGAAAAGGCUGGACAUUUUUGGCAUAAAAAAAUAUAUAAUAAUAUUUUAUAAACGGAACCCUAACGGAUUACUAACGGCAGGAGGGCCAAGUGAACUUUUUUCAUUUUACAAGAGGACAAAGUGCAAGUUUUUAAAUGACAGAAAAAAAUAAAAAAUUAAAUUUUGACAGAAAACUUUUAUGUAAUUUAGCCUAUAUAAUAAUCUUUU
rnacentral:lncRNA from 1 species